CACGUAGUUAGCCGGGGCUUCUUAGUCAGGUACCGUCAUUUUCUUUCCUGCUGAUAGAGCUUUACAUACCGAAAUACUUCUUCACCCACGCGGCGUCGCUGCAUCAGGGUUUCCCCCAUUGUGCAAUAUUCCCCACUGCUGCCUCCCGUAGGAGUUUGGGCCGUGUCUCAGUCCCAAUGUGGCCGUUCACCCUCUCAGGCCGGCUACUGAUCGUCGCCUUGGUGGGCCUCUACCCCGCCAACAAGCUAAUCAGACGCGGGUCCAUCGUAUACCACCGGAGUUUUUCACACCGGACCAUGCGAUCCUGUGCGCUUAUGCGGUUUUAGCACCUAUUUCUAAGUGUUAUCCCCCUGUAUACGGCAGGUUACCCACGCGUUACUCACCCGUCCGCCACUAACAGAUAAAUCACUAGGUUUCAUUACCUGUCCGUUCGACUUGCAUGUGUUAAGCACGCCGCCAGCGUUCAUCCUGAGCCAGGAUCAAACUCU
rnacentral:rRNA from 1 species